GUGGAUGUAGCUCAGUUGGUAGAGCCCAGGAUUGUGGCUCCUGUGGUCGUGGGUUCAAGUCCCAUCAUCCACCCCA
rnacentral:tRNA from 1 species